rnacentral:rRNA from 1 species
UAGAAGCAGCCAUCAUUUAAAGAAAGCGUAAUAGCUCACUGGUCGAGUCGGCCUGCGCGGAAGAUGUAACGGGGCUAAACCAUGCACCGAAGCUGCGGCAGCGACGCUGAUGCGUUGUUGGGUAGGGGAGCGUUCUGUAAGCCUGUGAAGGUGUGCUGUGAGGCAUGCUGGAGGUAUCAGAAGUGCGAAUGCUGACAUAAGUAACGAUAAAGCGGGUGAAAAGCCCGCUCGCCGGAAGACCAAGGGUUCCUGUCCAACGUUAAUCGGGGCAGGGUGAGUCGACCCCUAAGGCGAGGCCGAAAGGCGUAGUCGAUGGGAAACAGGUUAAUAUUCCUGUACUUGGUGUUACUGCGAAGGGGGGACGGAGAAGGCUAUGUUGGCCGGGCGACGGUUGUCCCGGUUUAAGCGUGUAGGCUGGUUUUCCAGGCAAAUCCGGAAAAUCAAGGCUGAGGCGUGAUGACGAGGCACUACGGUGCUGAAGCAACAAAUGCCCUGCUUCCAGGAAAAGCCUCUAAGCAUCAGGUAACAUCAAAUCGUACCCCAAACCGACACAGGUGGUCAGGUAGAGAAUACCAAGGCGCUUGAGAGAACUCGGGUGAAGGAACUAGGCAAAAUGGUGCCGUAACUUCGGGAGAAGGCACGCUGAUAUGUAGGUGAAGCGACUUGCUCGUGGAGCUGAAAUCAGUCGAAGAUACCAGCUGGCUGCAACUGUUUAUUAAAAACACAGCACUGUGCAAACACGAAAGUGGACGUAUACGGUGUGACGCCUGCCCGGUGCCGGAAGGUUAAUUGAUGGGGUCAGCGCAAGCGAAGCUCUUGAUCGAAGCCCCGGUAAACGGCGGCCGUAACUAUAACGGUCCUAAGGUAGCGAAAUUCCUUGUCGGGUAAGUUCCGACCUGCACGAAUGGCGUAAUGAUGGCCAGGCUGUCUCCACCCGAGACUCAGUGAAAUUGAACUCGCUGUGAAGAUGCAGUGUACCCGCGGCAAGACGGAAAGACCCCGUGAACCUUUACUAUAGCUUGACACUGAACAUUGAGCCUUGAUGUGUAGGAUAGGUGGGAGGCUUUGAAGUGUGGACGCCAGUCUGCAUGGAGCCGGCCUUGAAAUACCACCCUUUAAUGUUUGAUGUUCUAACGUUGACCCGUGAUCCGGGUUGCGGACAGUGUCUGGUGGGUAGUUUGACUGGGGCGGUCUCCUCCUAAAGAGUAACGGAGGAGCACGAAGGUUGGCUAAUCCUGGUCGGACAUCAGGAGGUUAGUGCAAUGGCAUAAGCCAGCUUGACUGCGAGCGUGACGGCGCGAGCAGGUGCGAAAGCAGGUCAUAGUGAUCCGGUGGUUCUGAAUGGAAGGGCCAUCGCUCAACGGAUAAAAGGUACUCCGGGGAUAACAGGCUGAUACCGCCCAAGAGUUCAUAUCGACGGCGGUGUUUGGCACCUCGAUGUCGGCUCAUCACAUCCUGGGGCUGAAGUAGGUCCCAAGGGUAUGGCUGUUCGCCAUUUAAAGUGGUACGCGAGCUGGGUUUAGAACGUCGUGAGACAGUUCGGUCCCUA